rnacentral:rRNA from 1 species
GACGUAGGGCGCGAGCGUUGUCCGGAUUUAUUGGGCGUAAAGAGCUCGUAGGCGGCUCAUUGCGUCAACCGUGAAAACCAGCAGCUCAACUGUUGGCUUGCGGUUGAUACGGGUGGGCUGGAGUUCGGUAGGGGAGACUGGAAUUCCUGGUGUGAGCGGUGAAAUGCGCAGAUAUCUGGAGGAACACCGGUGGCGAAGGCGGCAUCCUGGACCAAUAUUGACGCUGAGGAGCGAAAGCCAGGGGAGCAAAGCGG